CAUAGCGAUGUGGAAUCUGAAGGAAGCUGGCGGCAAAUUCUCGGCCUUACGAACAGAAACUGGAUACAAGGCCGUGUAUGGAGGACAAGUCUGCAUGACAAGGCAAAGUCCUAUAACUAUCUGAAUCCAUACAUGGUAAAUGCAGAGGGCACAUGAGAUGAAAGCG
rnacentral:ncRNA from 1 species